rnacentral:tRNA from 1 species
GCCUGGGUGGCUCAGUCAGUUAAACGUCUGACUUCAGCUCAGGUCACGAUCUGUGGUCCGUGAGCUCGAGUCCCGCCUCAGGCU